rnacentral:rRNA from 1 species
UGGGGAAUAUUGCACAAUGGGCGCAAGCCUGAUGCAGCCAUGCCGCGUGUGUGAAGAAGGCCUUCGGGUUGUAAAGCACUUUCAGCGGGGAGGAAGGCGAUAAGGUUAAUAACCUCAUCGAUUGACGUUACCCGCAGAAGAAGCACCGGCUAACUCCGUGCCAGCAGCCGCGGUAAUACGGAGGGUGCAAGCGUUAAUCGGAAUUACUGGGCGUAAAGCGCACGCAGGCGGUCUGUCAAGUCGGAUGUGAAAUCCCCGGGCUCAACCUGGGAACUGCAUUCGAAACUGGCAGGCUAGAGUCUUGUAGAGGGGGGUAGAAUUCCAGGUGUAGCGGUGAAAUGCGUAGAGAUCUGGAGGAAUACCGGUCGCGAAGGCGGCCCCCUGGACAAAGACUGACGCUCAGGUGCGAAAGCGUGGGGAGCAAACAGG